rnacentral:rRNA from 1 species
ACACAUGCAAGUCGAACGAGCGAGAGAGAGCUUGCUUUCUCGAGCGAGUGGCGAACGGGUGAGUAACGCGUGAGGAACCUGCCUCAAAGAGGGGGACAACAGUUGGAAACGACUGCUAAUACCGCAUAAGCCCACGGCUCGGCAUCGAGCAGAGGGAAAAGGAGCAAUCCGCUUUGAGAUGGCCUCGCGUCCGAUUAGCUAGUUGGUGAGGUAAUGGCCCACCAAGGCGACGAUCGGUAGCCGGACUGAGAGGUUGAACGGCCACAUUGGGACUGAGACACGGCCCAGACUCCUACGGGAGGCAGCAGUGGGGAAUAUUGCACAAUGGGGGAAACCCUGAUGCAGCGACGCCGCGUGGAGGAAGAAGGUCUUCGGAUUGUAAACUCCUGUUGUUGAGGAAGAUAAUGACGGUACUCAACAAGGAAGUGACGGCUAACUACGUGCCAGCAGCCGCGGUAAAACGUAGGUCACAAGCGUUGUCCGGAAUUACUGGGUGUAAAGGGAGCGCAGGCGGGAGAACAAGUUGGAAGUGAAAUCCAUGGGCUCAACCCAUGAACUGCUUUCAAAACUGUUUUUCUUGAGUAGUGCAGAGGUAGGCGGAAUUCCCGGUGUAGCGGUGGAAUGCGUAGAUAUCGGGAGGAACACCAGUGGCGAAGGCGGCCUACUGGGCACCAACUGACGCUGAGGCUCGAAAGUGUGGGUAGCAAACAGGAUUAGAUACCCUGGUAGUCCACACCGUAAACGAUGAUUACUAGGUGUUGGAGGAUUGACCCCUUCAGUGCCGCAGUUAACACAAUAAGUAAUCCACCUGGGGAGUACGACCGCAAGGUUGAAACUCAAAGGAAUUGACGGGGGCCCGCACAAGCAGUGGAGUAUGUGGUU